UACGUAGGGGGCUAGCGUUGUCCGGAAUCAUUGGGCGUAAAGCGCGCGUAGGCGGUCAGGUAAGUCCGGUGUGAAAGUCAAAGGCUCAACCUUUGAAUGUCAGUGGAUACUGCCGGGCUAGAGUCCGGAAGAGGCGAGUGGAACUCCUGGUGUAGCGGUGGAAUGCGCAGAUAUCAGGAAGAACACCGACGGCGAAGGCAGCUCGCUGGGACGGUACUGACGCUGAGGCGCGAAAGCGUGGGGAGCGAACAGG
rnacentral:rRNA from 1 species